AUGGAGGUUGAUCACCGCAUCAGGGUGAGCGACGGCGACGGCGAGACGACGGCCGGACAAGGAGGCGUUGUCGGCGUCUUCUUCGCGCGCUGCUGGCUGCGGCUCCGCUCGGUGCUCGUCGGUCUAUGGUGCUGGGUCGCGGGGUUCGCCAGGAAGGUGGGCAGGAUCGCCAGAGAGGAUCCAAGGCGGGUGGCGCACUCGCUCAAGGUCGGCCUGGCGCUCACCCUGGUGUCCGUCUUCUACUACGUCACGCCGCUCUUCAAGGGCUUCGGGGUCUCCACGCUCUGGGCCGUGCUCACCGUCGUGGUCGUCAUGGAGUACACCGUCGGUGGCACGCUGAGCAAAGGCUUGAAUAGAGCCUUCGCGACGCUGGUGGCUGGGUUCAUCGCCGUGGGAGCUCAUCAGGUGGCUAACCGCUGUGGUGCACAGGGGGAGCCCAUACUGCUCGCCAUCUUCGUCUUCUUGCUAGCGUCGGCGGCAACGUUCUCGCGCUUCAUCCCGGAGAUCAAGGCGAGGUACGACUACGGCGUGACCAUCUUCAUACUCACCUUCAGCCUGGUGGCCGUGUCGAGCUACCGCGUGGAGGAGCUUAUUCAGCUGGCACACCAGCGCUUCUCCACCAUCGUCAUCGGCGUCCUUACCUGCCUCUGCACCACCAUCUUCGUCUUCCCUGUCUGGGCCGGCGAGGAUCUCCACAAGCUCACCGCCGGCAACCUCGAUAAGCUGGCACAGUUUCUUCAAGGAUUGGAAUCUGAAUGCUUUGGAGAAAAGGCUGCCGGCGAGAAUUUGGAGGGCAAAGCCUUUCUGCAAGUGUACAAGAGCGUCCUCAACUCCAAGGCCAGUGAGGACUCUCUGUGCAAUUUUGCCAAAUGGGAGCCCGGUCAUGGCAAAUUCGGCUUCCGACACCCAUGGAGCCAAUACCAGAAGCUCGGAGCUCUUUGUCGUCAGUGCGCGUCUUCAAUGGAGGCUCUUGCUUCCUAUGUCAUCACACUGCAAAAGUCCCAGGUAAUUGCAGAUUCUCCCCCAAUUCAUGAUAUUAGAAGGAGACUAUGGAGCCAAGAUAUUGACCGACACCAUUUUCCUGAUCAACAGUACCCUGAGGCCAAUCCGGAGCUAACCUUGAAGGUCCGAACAGCAUGCGGGGAAAUGAGCUCACACUCUGCUAAGGCGCUCAAGGAGCUAUCAACAGCCAUUCGGACAAUGAUCAUACCAUCUCCAGCCAACAUCACCAUGUCCGCAGCCAUCAAAGCUGCAAAAGACCUCAGAAAUGAAUUAUCAGAGGAAGCAGCCCUGUUGCAAGUGAUGCAUGUGGCUGUUACUGCGACACUUCUGUCAGACUUGGUUACGACAAUAGUGAAAAUUGCAGAAACCGCUGAUAAUCUAGCACGGCUUGGCCACUUCAAGAACCCUGAAAAAACUCAGAAAGAUGUCGCUAUCAACAUUCCGAGCAGAUAA
rnacentral:rRNA from 1 species